UACGUAGGGUGCAAGCGUUAAUCGGAAUUACUGGGCGUAAAGCGUGCGCAGGCGGUUCGCUAAGACCGAUGUGAAAUCCCCAGGCUCAACCUGGGAACUGCGUCUGAUACUGGAUGGCUUGAAUUCGGGAGAGGGAUGCAGAAUUCCAGGUGUAGCGGUGAAAUGCGCAGAUAUCGGGAGGAACACCAGUAGCGAAGGCGGCUCGCUGGGCCAUUCCUGACGCUGAGACGCGAAAGCUAGGGGAGCGAACAGG
rnacentral:rRNA from 1 species